AACGGUCUAUACCUGCGGUACCUGCGGAAGGAUCAUUACUGAGUUAGGGUCUUAUUUGGCCCAACCUCCAAACCUUUGAGUACCUUGCAAAGCAUUGAUUUUUCCUUGUUGCUUCGGUGGGUUGAAAACACCCACCGAACCACAGGAACAACAAACUCUUUUGAAAGGUGCAGUCUGAAGUUUAGAUACUAAAUAAAUUAAAACUUUCAACAACGGAUCUCUAGAUCGGAAGAGCACACG
rnacentral:misc_RNA from 1 species